rnacentral:antisense_RNA from 1 species
AAGAGCACGACAUUGCUCACAUUGCUUCCAGUAUUUUAUGCCCGCCUUGCGCGGGCUUUUUUUU